GAUGAACGCUGGCGGCGUGCCUAACACAUGCAAGUCGAGCGAUUUACUUCGGUAAAGAGCGGCGGACGGGUGAGUAACGCGUGGGUAACCUGCCCUGUACACACGGAUAACAUACCGAAAGGUAUGCUAAUACGGGAUAAUAUGUUUUGAUCGCAUGAUCGAAAUAUCAAAGCUCCGGCGAUACAGGAUGGACCCGCGUCUGAUUAGCUAGUUGGUAAGGUAACGGCUUACCAAGGCGACGAUCAGUAGCCGACCUGAGAGGGUGAUCGGCCACAUCGGAACUGAGACACGGUCCAAACUCCUACGGGAGGCAGCAGUGGGGAAUAUUGCACAAUGGGCGAAAGCCUGAUGCAGCAACGCCGCGUGAGCGAUGAAGGCCUUCGGGUCGUAAAGCUCUGUCCUCAAGGAAGAUAAUGACGGUACUUGAGGAGGAAGCCCCGGCUAACUACGUGCCAGCCGCCGCAGUAA
rnacentral:rRNA from 1 species